rnacentral:rRNA from 1 species
AGAGUUUGAUCCUGGCUCAGAUUGAACGCUGGCGGUAUGCUUUACACAUGCAAGUCGGACGGAUUAAGAAGCUUGCUUCUUAGUUAGUGGCGAACGGGUGAGUAAUAUAUCGGAACAUAUCCGGAAGUGGGGGAUAACGUAGCGAAAGUUACGCUAAUACCGCAUAUGCCCUGAGGGGGAAAGGGGGGGAUUCGUAAGAACCUCUCGCUUUCGGAGUGGCCGAUAUCGGAUUAGCUAGUAGGUGAGGUAAAGGCUCACCUAGGCGACGAUCCGUAGCUGGUCUGAGAGGACGACCAGCCACACUGGAACUGAGACACGGUCCAGACUCCUACGGGAGGCAGCAGUGGGGAAUUUUGGACAAUGGGCGAAAGCCUGAUCCAGCCAUACCGCGUGAGUGAAGAAGGCCUUCGGGUUGUAAAGCUCUUUCAGCCGGAAAGAAAUUGCUUCUAUUAAUACUAGGAGUAGAUGACGGUACCGGAAGAAGAAGCACCGGCUAACUACGUGCCAGCAGCCGCGGUAAUAC